GGCUGGUGGCGCAGCGGAGGCUGGGUGCCGGCGGAGAAACUGGCAUCUCGCGUCUCCCCGACCCUGUGGAGCCCGUAGAGUGCUCGGGACACUCGGCUGCGGUCCCCUCCGCAGCGCGGUGACCUGAAACUGCCGCCCGCGCCGCGCCUCAUUCCGAAACUUCGGCCGAAACUUGCCUCUGUUGCUCCCAGCGCUCAGGAGAAGAAGUUUGAAGGCCAGCUUGCCUGGUAUGUGCAACAGGAAGAACAAAAGAGACCUUGCCUCAACCAAAGCAGAAGGAGUCACGAAUGUGAUUGGACUCUGAACUCCUGUUUUUGUCUUCAAAGGAGGAAAUGAGAAACGGAAUCAGUUCUAGACCAAGCCUAAUAUGUCUCCUUAUAUAAGGCUUACCUCAGCUACUUCCAUGUUUACAGAAGAAGGGUGAAAUCAAAGACUGCCAUUAUAUUGCGUCCUGUCUUACUGGCCUAACAACUAAGGCUGCUAGCUUUUUACUAGUUUGCUCUCAGAACCCGGAUAUACUCUUCCAUAGCAGUGUGUUAGUGGGCUUGAAGUUAGUCUGGCAUGCCUUCACCCUUUUGUCAAUGAUAUUUUGUUUUCAGUGAAGAUUUGAAGCUGAAAACUACUUGUAGUAAAUAUAUAAACAGCUAAAUGGAAGAGAAAUUACACAUGUGCCCUG
rnacentral:lncRNA from 1 species